rnacentral:rRNA from 1 species
UGCAGAGGGGGCAAGCGUUGUUCGGAAUUACUGGGCGUAAAGGGCUCGUAGGCGGCCAACUAAGUCAGACGUGAAAUCCCCAGGCUUAACCUGGGAACUGCGUCUGAUACUGGAUGGCUUGAAUUCGGGAGAGGGAUGCAGAAUUCCAGGUGUAGCGGUGAAAUGCGUAGAUAUCUGGAGGAAUACCGGUGGCGAAGGCGGCAUCCUGGACCGACAUUGACGCUGAGGAGCGAAAAGCUAGGGGAGCAAACGGGG